rnacentral:rRNA from 1 species
AACGAACGCUGGCGGCAUGCCUAACACAUGCAAGUCGAACGGGAUCUUCGGGUCUAGUGGCGCACGGGUGCGUAACGCGUGGGAAUCUGCCCUUUGGUUCGGAAUAACAGUUGGAAACGACUGCUAAUACCGGAUGAUGACGAAAGUCCAAAGAUUUAUCGCCAGAGGAUGAGCCCGCGUAGGAUUAGCUAGUUGGUGUGGUAAAGGCGCACCAAGGCGACGAUCCUUAGCUGGUCUGAGAGGAUGAUCAGCCACACUGGGACUGAGACACGGCCCAGACUCCUACGGGAGGCAGCAGUGGGGAAUAUUGGACAAUGGGCGAAAGCCUGAUCCAGCAAUGCCGCGUGAGUGAUGAAGGCCUUAGGGUUGUAAAGCUCUUUUACCCGGGAUGAUAAUGACAGUACCGGGAGAAUAAGCUCCGGCUAACUCCGUGCCAGCCGCCGCGGUAAAAC